rnacentral:misc_RNA from 1 species
GACCAGUGACGCCCCCUAGGGGCCCCCAGCAACCACAGAAAAAAUGAAAAAAGAGGAAACAAUGAAACAAAAUUUAAAUCACCACAAGAGUAAAAAAAAAAACCAAAAAAAAAAACUCCAGGGGUAACAUUUAACAAGGAAUCAAUUAAUUGAACAUAUCACAAGUUGUCCAGUAUAUAGGUGUGUGCUGGAAUUAGACAGAAUAUAAACUGCUCGUUAGAUAUAUAUAGAUAUUCAGACAUUGAUGACCCGUAGAAUGCUGGGCUAUGUUCCUGAGCCCCCAGGAUAAACCCCCAGGAUGCAAUGGAGGGAAAUCCUGUCACUUGGAAACCCAUUCCAUGGAGAAACCACCAUUAACCAUAGUUUUAAUUUGUUUAUUUUUAUUUUUAAUGUUGACAUUUAGGUAUUGGUUUUAACUAUGUAGAAAUGAAACGCCCACUCAGAGGAUUUUUGAACUGUUGCUUCAUGUGCUGAUCAUCGACCACAAUAAGACACGUCUCUUGUUAAGAGUUCUGAACUUUGAAACAAGCUGAACUGUGAUAACAUGUUUUAUAUCAGCAAAAGGAAUCUGUUACCUGGACCUUUUUGUGUGACCCUCAUUUGAAUUUAAAUGAUAAAUAAGACGUCUGAUGUAAAUUAUUUUGUAAAGUCCCUGGCAAUAGGUGCAGCCUUAAUGUAAAGCAUGAGGAAGGGAUUGUGAAUGGCACAGACCUUGUUGGUUCAGUCAGCCUUGUAUUUAUUAUUAUUAUCUGCCUUUUGUUUGUAUCUGGACAUUUCUGUUUGGUGUAUGUUCUCUUUUCUGUAGUAUGUCCCCUGCUGUAAUAUUUUGGGCUUGACAAUGCAAUGAAAGAUCAAUCCAGAUCUGUCCACACGUCCUUAUUGUUAUUCAAUUACAAACAAUACAUGUCUACUGUACAAAUUAAGCCUGAUUUGUGUCAUAUUGAAGAGAAACCUAUUGUAUUUGAUUGUAAUAUAAGCUGUAUGAUAUAGAACCGUUUUAUUAAUCCCUUCAGAAGUUCAGGUUGUACGGCUGAGUUAUGUGAUGCGAUCACAAUACUUACAUCAGCAUACCUGUGUCGUCACCAUGUUUCUCUAUGUUGGGUACUGUGUUGUUCUCUCUGUGUUCAUUCUCUGUUUAUUCUGUGUGUGCUCCUCUGUAUACUGAAGGUCUAUGCAACCCUCUGCUGCAAUAAGCAACUAACAGUUAGCAAACCUUGUAUCUGAUAAAGGACUGAGAUAUUAUAAUGAGUAAUAACUGUGUCUUGUCACAUUUCUAUGUCGGUAUGAAUUUGAUGUAAGUAUAGAAUCAUGACCUUCUGUGUGUGUUGGUAUAAAAUAAAGAGAUCUGCUGUUGACUAGGAUAGCCAAAUAUUUAUACAUAUAUCUGGUUUGUUGUUUUUAAGACAUGUCACCAUAAACUUCAACAUUAUUGCAUAUUAAAAUAUUUCUGU